AGAGUGAAAAAAGGUGUCAAAAGUCAAUUUGGACUUUUCUUCUUAUAAACCUUUAUUAACCUUUAUAAAAAAAAAAAAAAAAAUUAAUGGUCACAUAUAUGGAAAAGGGUGGCUGGCCAUGUGCUAUUUUAGAGUGGUGUGAACCCAAUUUUAUAAAAUUCAAAUCCCAUUUAAUUAAGAAGUCAAGUGGGCAAGUGGGUAGAAAAGCACUCAAGUGUUUUGUGAUAUUUUGAAGAGUUGUGUGAGCCAUUCUAACCCCCAAAUCCGACCACUCUCCCUCCCUCAUUCACUCUCAUCUGAUUUUUGAAGACUCUCUCAAGUGUUCUCUCCAUUUUGAACCCCAAGAACACCAAAGAAACUUGGAAGCUAAGUCUUGGUCUAGGAAGGGUUUUCCCUAAGUUGGUUAGGGUUUUUGAAAGGUUUUGAAGGAGUCAAAGCUUAUAGGAAGGUCCAAACCUUAAGCAAGAACACCAAAGAGUAUUGGCUAAGCGUAACUGGACUGAACGUUGGAGGGUGAAAACCUGCUGAGCGCUAAGGACUCCAAGUAAGAACAAGGGCAAGGCAGAGCAGUGAGCGCUGGAGUCUUCCUUGCAAAUGUACAUGUGGACCGACCUUUUGGGAAGCCUUUUUAUUUUUGGAAAUGUUGUGUAAUUUUCCUAAACUAGGCUCACUCUAAUCUUUAUAAAACAUGUUUGUAACUAAAUGUUAAGUAUGGCCAUACGACUUUUUAAAAAGUUUUUUUUUCUAUGGGUUUUUGAGGCAUUUUGUUAAAUGAAAACAUUUAUAUUUCCGUAUUAUCGAGUCUUGAAAAUCCGGGUCGUUACAGGUGGUAUCCCCAAUCACGGUUGUGUAAUCUAAGCUUUGAACUUACAAAAUUAUAGUAGGACCCAAUUAAUUUUCCAA